GAGUAUAAAACAAUAAAACAAUAUGAGAGGGUCUCUCUCUUCCCUCACCAGAGGGGGCCAAAGUUUUAUGAGACAUCUCCUCAUCUGUGCACAGAUGGGUGGCGGACUCUGGAGUCCAGGCUGUUGCUUCCCAUUCUAGUGGUGAAUCUUCCAUAGUCUGGUAUUGUUGUCUCUAACCCAGACCUGAUCACCUGGCUACAGCAAGGAAAAGAAACUUUGACCAUGAAGAGACAGGUGAUGAUUGCCAAACACACAGGUAUUGUUGUCUCCAAGCCAGACCUGAUCAUCUGUCUGGAGCAAGGAAAAAUCCUUUGAGUAUGAGGAGACAUGAGAUGAUUGCCAAACACCCAGGUGGGUGCAAGUGAAAGUGAAUACAACAGACGACACAGAUGGAGUUUCACUCUUGUUGCUUAGACUGGAGUGCAAUGGUGUGACCCCAGUUCACUGCAACCUCUGCCUCUCAGGUUCAAGCAAUUUUCCUGCCUCAGCCUCCCAAGUAGGUGGGAGUACAGGCGCCUGCAACCACACCCAGGUAAUUUUUUCUAUUUUAAGUAGAAAUGGGGUUUGACCAUGAUGGCCAGGCUGGUCUUGAAUUCCUGAUCUCAGGUGGUCUACCUGCCUCGGCAUCACAAAGUGCUGGUAUUACAGGCAUGAGCCACCACAUCCAGCCUUGUGUAUUUUGGAGAUAGUGUCUCACUCUGUCAACCAGGCUGAUUUGCUCGGUUCACUGCUGCCUGAAUCUCCCAAACUCAGAUGAUCCUCUCAUAUCAGCCUCUCAAGUAGCUGCAUUACAAGUAUGUAACAUCACACC
rnacentral:lncRNA from 1 species